rnacentral:rRNA from 1 species
AUUGAACGCUGGCGGCAUGCCUAACACAUGCAAGUCGAACGAGUGGCGGACGGGUGAGUAAUGUCUGGGAAACUGCCCCAUGUAGGGGGAGAACUACUGGAAACGGUAGCUAAUACCGCCUACCAUCGGCUGUGCCCAUAUGGGAAUAGCUUGUACGUGAGGUAACGGCCCACCUAGGCCACCAUCCCUAGCUGGUCUGAGAGGAUGACCAGCCCAAAUGGAACUGAGACACGGUCGAGACUCCUCCGGGAGGCAGAAGUGGAGAAUAUGGCACAAUGGGUGACAGCCUGAUGCAGCCAUGCCGCGUGUAUGAAGAAGGCCUUCGGGUUGUAAAGUACUUUCAGCGGGGAGGCGUUACCCGCAGAAGAAGCACCGGCUAACUCCGUGCCAGCAGCCGCGGUAAUUC